rnacentral:rRNA from 1 species
GAUGAACGCUAGCUACAGGCUUAACACAUGCAAGUCGAGGGACCGGCGCCCGGGUGAGUAACACGUGUCCAACCUGCCCUUUACUCGGGGAUAGCCUGUCGAAAGAAAGAUUAAUACCUGAUAUAAAGAACGGGGAUGCGUUGAAUUAGGUUGUGGGUGAGGUAACGGCCCACCAAGCCUUCGAUGGAUAGUGUGUCUGAGAGGAAGGCCCCCCACAUUGGAGCUGAGGCACGGACCCAACUGGUAGGUGAGGCAGCAGUGAGGAAUAGUGGUGAAUGGGCGUUAGCCUGAACCAGCCAAGUAGAGUGAAGGGGGAAUGCUUAUGGGUCGUAAUCUUCUGUUAUAUAAGAAUCGGUAUUAUAUGAAUAAGGAGCGGCUAACUCCGUGCCAGCAGCCGCGGUAAUAC